GUCUCCCGAGGCGCGGAGAGUCCUCCUGGCCCCUCGAGCUAAGAGCAGCCUGGCCCAGUUCUCCUGCCCUACUCUCCGCAGCUCCCAGAAAGGAUCCACCCCGAAGGGUGGAGGGCCCCCGAGGCGGCUCUGACUCACGCUUGCUAGCGUGGUUUCGACCAGACUUUCAACCAGAACGACCCCCGCAGUCUGGCCCUUAGCUGGGAGCUCCUGGGGCGGCUCCCCACCCAGACCCUCCCACCAGUCCAGACUCCCAGCCCCCGGCAUCUCCACCUCUCCACCUGUGACCCUUACCCAAUACCCAGGAAGAAGUUAAUGAAAUAAAAUGAACUCACUAUGGCCAAGCUGCUAAGUUACUAAAGUGAGGAGACGAGGGGCAAGAAUUUGGGAGAACAAUUUGGGACCUGGCAGGGGAAGCUGGGAAGGAGUGGCCUCGCUGGAGUGAGCCCGACCUGCAGGGAGCUGGGCACUGAAUCUGGGGAGCACCUACUCCAUUCCUCCCGCAGCUGAUCACUACAGCCAGGCUCCGAGGGGCCGGCUCUAGAGUGUUCUCUCUCCCUCCUUCCUCUCCUUAGUCCCACCCACUUUGCCUGGUCUUGCUUGCCUCCCUGUUUCCAUGACAACUCCAAGGGAGCCCAAACUGGGGGCUUGAAUGCUAGGGUGAGAGGAGGAGAGACGAGUGGGGGUACGUCUGAAGAGCUCCCCCAACCCCGCCUCGGUCCCUUUAAGCUCUCCCCCCUCCCUGUUCUCCCUCUGCCCCCCCACCCCCACCCUCCGCGGUUGUCUUCUCUCCAUCUCUUGCGCUCGCUGCUGGCUGCGCAAUCCCUGCACCCAGACUCCAGCUCCAGUUGGAGACCCCCCGACGCCAGCUGCAGAGACCCUGACCCAGCGAGACAGAGACUGCAAGCAUGUCAUCAGAAAAGUCAGGCCUCCCGGACUCAGUCCCUC